UACGAAGGGGGCUAGCGUUGCUCGGAAUCACUGGGCGUAAAGCGCACGUAGGCGGACUCUUAAGUCGGUGGUGAAAUCCUGGAGCUCAACUCCAGAACUGCCUCCGAUACUGGGAGCCUUCGAGUCCGGGAGAGGUGAGUGGAACUGCGAGUGUAGAGGUGAAAUUCGUAGAUAUUCGCAGGAACACCAGUGGCGAAGGCGGCUCACUGGUCCGAUACUGACGCUGAGGUGCGAAAGCGUGGGGAGCAAACAGG
rnacentral:rRNA from 1 species